CCAGACUCCUACGGGAGGCAGCAGUGAGGAAUAUUGGUCAAUGGGCGCGAGCCUGAACCAGCCAAGUAGCGUGAAGGAUGACUGCCCUACGGGUUGUAAACUUCUUUUAUAAAGGAAUAAAGUGAGGCACGUGUGCCUUUUUGUAUGUACUUUAUGAAUAAGGAUCGGCUAACUCCGUGCCAGCAGCCGCGGUAAUACGGAGGAUCCGAGCGUUAUCCGGAUUUAUUGGGUUUAAAGGGAGCGUAGAUGGGUUGUUAAGUCAGUUGUGAAAGUUUGCGGCUCAACCGUAAAAUUGCAAUUGAUACUGGCAGCCUUGAGUACAGUUGAGGUAGGCGGAAUUCGUGGUGUAGCGGUGAAAUGCGUAGAUAUCAGGAGGAACACCGGCGGCGAAGGCGGCCUGCUGGACCGCGACUGACGUUGAGGCUCGAAAGCGUGUGGAGCGAACAGGAUUAGAUACCCCCGUA
rnacentral:rRNA from 1 species